GCGUAGGAAUCUACCUGGUAGUGGGGACGAACUUGGGAAACCCGAAACGCUAAUAACCGCAUACGCCCUUCCGGGGUAAAGGGUAGGGGGAGGUCUUCGGUACCGUCCACGCUAUCAGAUGAGCCUGCGUCGGAUUAGCUAGUUGGUGGGGUAAAAGGACCUACCAAGGCGACGAUCCGUAGCUGGUCUGAGAGGACGAUCAGCCACACUGGGACUGAGACACGGCCCAGACUCCUACGGGAGGCAGCAGUAGGGAAUAUUGCGCAAUGGGCGAAAGCCUGACGCAGCCAUGCCGCGUGU
rnacentral:rRNA from 1 species